UACCCCAUACUUUCCCCACCUGUGUAGAUCUACACUUCCUUACCUAUUUUAUUUAGUGCUCCAUAUUACAACACAUAUUUUUCAUUCAUUUUAGAUCCACGUUAUAAAUAUCUUUAUUCAUUCUAAUUUAAUACAGUUUUCUUGGAAUUUCCUAUUUAUCCAUAUUAAACAACUAAUUCAAUGAUUUUUUUUAUGUAAUGUAGGCAAACAUAGUUGAAAAUUAAAUCGUAAUUAUAAUUCUGAAGCAAUUAAAACCAACGUUUAAUAAUAAUUUAGGCAAUUCAAAUAAAUAUUUAAACUAAUCUGCGCUGAACGCCAAUUAACUCUCUUCUUCUUCUUCUCAGGUUGCCCAGACGGACAUGAAUGCUGAAUGCGGCUGUUAAAUUCUGGCUCUUCCCAAUAUGUAAUAUUAAGGACAAACAAAGGAAAGUGUCGCCUAAAAAACAGAAACGACAACACUAGAACACAUCGAAGGAUGGUCACCUAACCCAGAGUUGAGCUCAAUUCGGAGUCCUAACCACCUGUACCUCAACGACAAGAGUACUUAUGUCUAUUGGGAACUAUACCAGCGCAUGCCGGACUGCCUAUGCGUUUAUACAGCGCCUCCCUCGUUGGACUUGGACAGCGAAGAGUGUGACUCCCGUUUAGCUUUAAGUAGAUUUAGUUAUAGUUGUACUUUUUGUUCAUAUGCUAACUGUUAAUAUGAUCCUCUUUGUUUUAAAUCCAAAUCGGUAUUAUCUCAUAAUAUUUGUCUUAGAUUCGUUUCAAUUUAACUUCAAACCAAAAUAUUGUUUGUAUUUCUAUGUUUGUUAAUCUAAGGAGAUUUAAAUGUUCAAUUGUUCUCCUUUUUGUAUU